CUGAUUUAGCGGCGGACGGGUGAGUAAUGCCUAGGAAUCUGCCUGGUAGUGGGGGAUAACGUUCCGAAAGGAACGCUAAUACCGCGUACGUCCUACGGGAGAAAGCAGGGGACCUUCGGGCCUUGCGCUAUCAGAUGAGCCUAGGUCGGAUUAGCUAGUUGGUGAGGUAACGGCUCACCAAGGCGACGAUCCGUAACUGGUCU
rnacentral:rRNA from 1 species